AUUGAACGCUGGCGGCAUGCCUUACACAUGCAAGUCGAACGGCAGCACGGGUGCUUGCACCUGGUGGCGAGUGGCGAACGGGUGAGUAAUACAUCGGAACAUGUCCUGUAGUGGGGGAUAGCCCGGCGAAAGCCGGAUUAAUACCGCAUACGAUCUACGGAUGAAAGCGGGGGACCUUCGGGCCUCGCGCUAUAGGGUUGGCCGAUGGCUGAUUAGCUAGUUGGUGGGGUAAAGGCCUACCAAGGCGACGAUCAGUAGCUGGUCUGAGAGGACGACCAGCCAGCCGGGACUGGGCAACGGCCCAGGCUCCUACGGGAGGCAGCAGUGGGGAAUUUUGGACAAUGGGCGAAAGCCUGAUCCAGUAAUGCCGCGUGUGUGAAGAAGGCCUUCGGGUUGUAAAGCACUUUUGUCCGGAAAGAAAUCCUUGGCUCUAAUACAGUCGGGGGAUGACGGUACCGGAAGAAUAAGCACCGGCUAACUACGUGCCAGCCGCCGCCGUAA
rnacentral:rRNA from 1 species